UUUUUCUACCUUCUGUGACCAUCCAUCACGUGACACCAACAUAUCUCAUCUUCAUCUUUUAUUUCUGUUAUUACAGAAAUCAAGAGUUGCAUCAAGCAAGCUUAUAUCAACAUGAAAAACGAUUUGGUUCCAAAUGCCUGCAAAAAACAACAAAACCAGGUGAGACUGCGAGCUUAUGCACAUGCGAGUUUGUUGAAAUAAGUUGCCUCAAAUGAGCUAACGAGCAUUUGAAAUGAAAUAUCGCAUGCGAGUAAAUUGUAUCACGAGAACCUCUCCGCUCAUAACUUAUCACAACGAAAACAAUAAACAAUAACACAACUUAAUUAUCUCAUGAAAUGUCAGUUGUGUUUGAGCGCUGAUGAGAAGGAAUGCGCUCUCGAAUAACGCAAAUGAGCAUCAAUGUCAUCUAUAACGGAUAAGCUCUUCAGUUUAUGUGCAACGAAAUCAAGUGAAACAAUUUUUCCACGUGAAAAUUAGUGCGCAUUAUUUUAUGGUAAAAAAUAAGUGUUUUCAAGUGUUUAGUGGAUAUUUUUGUGAAAUUUUAAAUCGUAAGUUAGUGCGCGUUGUGUUAAAAUUAGUUAAUUUGUGUAGUGUUUGUGAAUAAAGUGUUGUGAUAGUUUCAAUUCAAGUUUGUGCGCGUUUGAAGGUCAUAUUUCUGUUGGAGCGCAGUGUGAAUGGCGAAUGUCGAGACUCCUUUAUGAUCGGAAAAUCAACA